rnacentral:misc_RNA from 1 species
GAGAAGAACGUAGCGAAAUGCGAUACGUAAUGUGAAUUGCAGAAUUCAGUGAAUCAUCGAAUCUUUGAACGCAUAUUGCGCUCUCUGGUAUUCCGGAGAGCAUGCUUGUUUGAGUAUCAGUAAACACCUCAACUUCCAUAUCUUUUUUGAAAUGGGAGUUGGACUUGAGUGAUCCCAACGCUUUUCCUCACCGAAAAGUGGCGGGUUACUUGAAAUGCAGGUGCAGCUGGACUUUUCUCUGAGCUAUAAGCAUAUCUAUUUAGUCUGCCUAAAAAACAGAUUAUUACCUUUGCUGCAGCUAACAUAAAGGAGAUUAGUUCUUGUGCUGACUGAUGCAGGAUUCACAAAGACAGGCUUCGGCCGACUUUGUAAACUCGAUCUCAAAUCAAGUAAGACUACCCGCUGAACUUAAGCAUAUCAAUAAGCGGAGGA